rnacentral:rRNA from 1 species
UAAGGGGGAACCUGAAUGCAGCCAUGCCGCGUGUGUGAAGAAGGCCUUCGGGUUGUAAAGCACUUUCAGUUGUGAGGAAAAGUUAGUAGUUAAUACCUGCUAGCCGUGACGUUAACAACAGAAGAAGCACCGGCUAACUCCGUGCCAGCAGCCGCGGUAAUACGGAGGGUGCGAGCGUUAAUCGGAAUUACUGGGCGUAAAGCGCACGCAGGCGGUUUGUUAAGCUAGAUGUGAAAGCCCCGGGCUCAACCUGGGAUGGUCAUUUARAACUGGCAGACUASAGUCUUGGAGAGGGGAGUGGAAUUCCAGGUGUAGCGGUGAAAUGCGUARAUAUCUGGAGGAACAUCAGUGGCGAAGGCGACUCCCUGGCCAAAGACUGACGCUCAUGUGCGAAAGUGUGGGUAGCGAACAGGGUUAGAUACCCUGGUAGUCCACACCGUAAACGCUGUCUACUAGCUGUUUGUGACUUUAAGCCGUGAGUAGCGAAGCUAACGCGAUAAGUARACCGCCUGGGGAGUACGGCCGCAAGGUUAAAACUCAAAUGAAUUGACGGGGGCCCGCACAAGCGGUGGAGCAUGUGGUUUAAUUCGAUGCAACGCGAAGAACCUUACCUACACUUGACAUGCAGAGAACUUUCCAGAGAUGGAUUGGUGCCUUCGGGAACUCUGACACAGGUGCUGCAUGGCUGUCGUCAGCUCGUGUCGUGGGAUGUUGGGUUAAGUCCCGC